rnacentral:rRNA from 1 species
CCUACGGGAGGUAGCAGUAGGGAAUCUUCCACAAUGGGCGAAAGCCUGAUGGAGCAACGCCGCGUGGGUGAAGAAGGUCUUCGGAUCGUAAAACCCUGUUGUUAGAGAAGAAAGUGCGUGAGAGUAACUGUUCACGUUUCGACGGUAUCUAACCAGAAAGCCACGGCUAACUACGUGCCAGCAGCCGCGGUAAUACGUAGGUGGCAAGCGUUAUCCGGAUUUAUUGGGCGUAAAGGGAACGCAGGCGGUCUUUUAAGUCUGAUGUGAAAGCCUUCGGCUUAACCGGAGUAGUGCAUUGGAAACUGGUAGACUAGAGUGCAGAAGAGGUGAGUGGAACGCCAUGUGUAGCGGUGAAAUGCGUAGAUAUAUGGAAGAACACCAGUGGCGAAAGCAGCUCUCUGGUCUGUAACUGACGCUGAGGUUCGAAAGCGUGGGUAGCAAACAGGAUUAGAUACCCCUGUAGUC